UUUUACAGCAAUCUCUUGCCCAUUGUGCAGCUGACCCUUGUACACUGUGCCAAAACCACCCCGUCCGAGUCUGUUAGCUGGACUAAAAUUGUUAGUGGCAGUAGAUACAGUGCGUAGGUUGAAAAAUGGCAAAUCUGUGUAUUCCCUAUUUUCUAAAAGCUCAUUUCCCACCAUUGUAGGAAAUAAUCCUUUCCUUUUCUCUCCCAUUUUCUUCUUCUUCCUUAGCCACAAAAAGGCAAAUAUGGCAAUGAUAAAUAUUGUGAAAGCAGCAGAUAAUACUGGAAUGGCCAACACCCUUUUCUUUUUGAGAAAACUUCUCUUCUUUGCAUACUCAGCCAACUCAAUGCCAUCCACACGAACAUGCAGAUACGUCCCGCUGACUACUGCAUCGUGUCCAUUAAUUUCCCCUAACAUGUCCACCAGCCUACUCCUUUCCUCCCUAUGUCUAAGCUUGCAAAUGCUUUGCAUGAACAAUUAGCCAAGCACAGUUGCUUACACUCUGUCCUACUCAAACUUGUGUUCAUCAAAGCUGCUAUUGAAGUAUCAGGAACCUUCAAUUGCCCUACCUUAACAAACCCUUCUCCACUUCUGCACAUUGACAUUAUUUGCUGUCGCUUACUUACUUACUUCAAUGUACUAAGCGCACCGCAAUGUCCGUAGAUGUACUUUGGCUCCGAACGGGAUGCCCUCCUUUAAUAGGUACUGACUCUGUUGUCCCAACUCCCAAGUAAGCGGCUGGAUCAAUGCAGAGGUUUUAACCAGAAUUCAUAUGGGUACAUUUUCAUCAAACUCUGAAAGGAAAGAGGAGUACAUCUCAUUUGGAUUGUUAAUAGAUUUAUACGAAUAACCGGCCACUGGUGAAGAUUCCCAGGGCCAUGGGGAUCUUCUUCAAUACGGAAUUAAACCGUUGUGCUAAAA
rnacentral:misc_RNA from 1 species